rnacentral:rRNA from 1 species
AUGAACGCUGGCGGCGUGCCUAAUACAUGCACGUCGAGCGAACAGACGAGGAGCUUGCUCCUCUGACGUUAGCGGCGGACGGGUGAGUAACACGUGGAUAACCUACCUAUAAGACUGGGAUAACUUCGGGAAACCGGAGCUAAUACCGGAUAAUAUAUUGAACCGCAUGGUUCAAUAGUGAAAGACGGUUUUGCUGUCACUUAUAGAUGGAUCCGCGCCGCAUUAGCUAGUUGGUAAGGUAACGGCUUACCAAGGCGACGAUGCGUAGCCGACCUGAGAGGGUGAUCGGCCACACUGGAACUGAGACACGGUCCAGACUCCUACGGGAGGCAGCAGUAGGGAAUCUUCCGCAAUGGGCGAAAGCCUGACGGAGCAACGCCGCGUGAGUGAUGAAGGUCUUCGGAUCGUAAAACUCUGGUAUUAGGGAAGAACAAAUGUGUAAGUAACUAUGCACGUCUUGACGGUACCUAAUCAGAAAGCCACGGCUAACUACGUG